rnacentral:rRNA from 1 species
GGGUUGUGAGGUUAAGCGACUAAGCGUACACGGUGGAUGCCUAGGCAGUCAGAGGCGAUGAAGGGCGUGCUAAUCUGCGAAAAGCGUCGGUAAGGUGAUAUGAACCGUUACAACCGACGAUACCCGAAUGGGGAAACCCAGUGCAAUUCGUUGCACUAUUGCAUGGUGAAUACAUAGCCAUGCAAGGCGAACCGGGGGAACUGAAACAUCUAAGUACCCCGAGGAAAAGAAAUCAACCGAGAUUCCCCUAGUAGCGGCGAGCGAACGGGGAGGAGCCCAGAGUCUGAAUCAGUUUGUGUGUUAGUGGAAGCGUCUGGAAAGUCGCACGGUACAGGGUGAUAGUCCCGUACACAAAAACACACUUGCUGUGAACUCGAUGAGUAGGGCGGGACACGUGACAUCCUGUCUGAAUAUGGGGGGACCAUCCUCCAAGGCUAAAUACUCCUGACUGACCGAUAGUGAACCAGUACCGUGAGGGAAAGGCGAAAAGAACCCCGGCGAGGGGAGUGAAAUAGAACCUGAAACCGUGUACGUACAAGCAGUGGGAGCACCUUCGUGGUGUGACUGCGUACCUUUUGUAUAAUGGGUCAGCGACUUAUAUUUUGUAGCAAGGUUAACCGAAUAGGGGAGCCGUAGGGAAACCGAGUCUUAACUGGGCGUCUAGUUGCAAGGUAUAGACCCGAAACCCGGUGAUCUAGCCAUGGGCAGGUUGAAGGUUGGGUAACACUAACUGGAGGACCGAACCGACUAAUGUUGAAAAAUUAGCGGAUGACUUGUGGCUGGGGGUGAAAGGCCAAUCAAACCGGGAGAUAGCUGGUUCUCCCCGAAAGCUAUUUAGGUAGCGCCUCGUGAACUCAUCUUCGGGGGUAGAGCACUGUUUCGGCUAGGGGGUCAUCCCGACUUACCAAACCGAUGCAAACUCCGAAUACCGAAGAAUGUUAUCACGGGAGACACACGGCGGGUGCUAACGUCCGUCGUGAAGAGGGAAACAACCCAGACCGCCAGCUAAGGUCCCAAAGUCAUGGUUAAGUGGGAAACGAUGUGGGAAGGCAUAGACAGCCAGGAUGUUGGCUUAGAAGCAGCCAUCAUUUAAAGAAAGCGUAAUAGCUCACUGGUCGAGUCGGCCUGCGCGGAAGAUGUAACGGGGCUAAACCAUGCACCGAAGCUGCGGCAGCGACACUUAGGUGUUGUUGGGUAGGGGAGCGUUCUGUAAGCCGUUGAAGGUGACCUGUGAGGGUUGCUGGAGGUAUCAGAAGUGCGAAUGCUGACAUAAGUAACGAUAAUGCGGGUGAAAAACCCGCACGCCGGAAGACCAAGGGUUCCUGUCCAACGUUAAUCGGGGCAGGGUGAGUCGACCCCUAAGGCGAGGCUGAAAAGCGUAGUCGAUGGGAAACAGGUUAAUAUUCCUGUACUUGGUGUUACUGCGAAGGGGGGACGGAGAAGGCUAGGCUAGCCGGGCGACGGUUGUCCCGGUUUAAGCAUGUAGGCGGAGCGACUUGGUAAAUCCGGUUGCUUAUCAACGCUGAGGUGUGAUGACGAGUCACUACGGUGAUGAAGUAGUUGAUGCCAAGCUUCCAGGAAAAGCCUCUAAGCAUCAGGUAACAUUAAAUCGUACCCCAAACCGACACAGGUGGUCAGGUAGAGAAUACUCAGGCGCUUGAGAGAACUCGGGUGAAGGAACUAGGCAAAAUGGUGCCGUAACUUCGGGAGAAGGCACGCUGGCAUUAGGUAAAGGGACUUGCUCCCGGCGCCGAAGCCAGUCGCAGAUACCAGCUGGCUGCAACUGUUUAAUAAAAACACAGCACUGUGCAAACACGAAAGUGGACGUAUACGGUGUGACGCCUGCCCGGUGCUGGAAGGUUAAUUGAUGGGGUCAGCCGCAAGGCGAAGCUCUUGAUCGAAGCCCCAGUAAACGGCGGCCGUAACUAUAACGGUCCUAAGGUAGCGAAAUUCCUUGUCGGGUAAGUUCCGACCUGCACGAAUGGCGUAAUGAUGGCCAGGCUGUCUCCACCCGAGACUCAGUGAAAUUGAACUCGCUGUGAAGAUGCAGUGUACCCGCGGCAAGACGGAAAGACCCCGUGAACCUUUACUAUAGCUUGACACUGAACAUUGAGCCUUGAUGUGUAGGAUAGGUGGGAGGCAUUGAAGUGUGGACGCCAGUCUGCAUGGAGCCAACCUUGAAAUACCACCCUUUAAUGUUUGAUGUUCUAACUCGGCCCCGUAAUCCGGGGUGAGGACAGUGUCUGGUGGGUAGUUUGACUGGGGCGGUCUCCUCCCAAAGAGUAACGGAGGAGCACGAAGGUUAGCUAAUCACGGUCGGACAUCGUGAGGUUAGUGCAAAGGCAUAAGCUAGCUUGACUGCGAGAGUGACGGCUCGAGCAGGUACGAAAGUAGGUCUUAGUGAUCCGGUGGUUCUGAAUGGAAGGGCCAUCGCUCAACGGAUAAAAGGUACUCCGGGGAUAACAGGCUGAUACCGCCCAAGAGUUCAUAUCGACGGCGGUGUUUGGCACCUCGAUGUCGGCUCAUCACAUCCUGGGGCUGAAGUAGGUCCCAAGGGUAUGGCUGUUCGCCAUUUAAAGUGGUACGCGAGCUGGGUUUAGAACGUCGUGAGACAGUUCGGUCCCUAUCUGCCGUGGGCGUUGGAAGAUUGAGAGGGGCUGCUCCUAGUACGAGAGGACCGGAGUGGACGAAUCACUGGUGUUCGGGUUGUCAUGCCAAUGGCAUUGCCCGGUAGCUAAAUUCGGAAGAGAUAACCGCUGAAAGCAUCUAAGCGGGAAACUUGCCUCGAGAUGAGUCUUCCCUGGGGCUUUAAGCCCCCUGAAGGAACGUUAAAGACUAUGACGUUGAUAGGCUGGGUGUGUAAGUGCAGCGAUGCAUUGAGCUAACCAGUACUAAUGAUCCGUGAGGCUUAACCUUACAACACCAAAGGUGUUUUG